rnacentral:rRNA from 1 species
CCUACGGGUGGCAGCAGUGAGGAAUAUUGGUCAAUGGGCGGAAGCCUGAACCAGCCAAGUCGCGUGAGGGAUGAAGGCCCUGCGGGUGGUAAACCUCUUUUGCCGGGGAGCAGAGGUCAGGACGUGUCCGGGCCGGGAGAGGACCCGGAGAAAAAGCAGCGGCGAACUCAGUGCCAGCAGCCGCGGUAAUACGGAGGAUGCGAGCGUUAUCCGGAUUUAUUGGGUUUAAAGGGUGCGCAGGCGGAAGAUCAAGUCAGCGGUAAAAUGGAGAGGCUCAACCUCUUCGAGCCGUUGAAACUGGUUUUCUUUCGUGCGUGCGCAGUCUGCGGCAUGCGUGGUGUAGCGGUGACAUGCCUCGAUAUCACGC